rnacentral:rRNA from 1 species
CGCGAAGAACCUUACCUGGGCUUGACAUGAACCGGAAACACCUGGAAACAGGUGCCCCGCUUGCGGUCGGUUUACAGGUGGUGCAUGGUUGUCGUCAGCUCGUGUCGUGAGAUGUUGGGUUAAGUCCCGCAACGAGCGCAACCCUCGUUCUAUGUUGCCAGCGCGUUAUGGUGGGGACUCAUAGGAGACUGCCGGGGUCAACUCGGAGGAAGGUGGGGACGACGUCAAAUCAUCAUGCCCCUUAUGUCUUGGGCUUCACGCAUGCUACAAUGGCCGGUACAAAGGGUUGCGAUACUGUGAGGUGGAGCUAAUCCCAAAAAGCCGGUCUCAGUUCGGAUUGGGGUCUGCAACUCGACCCCAUGAAGUCGGAGUCGCUAGUAAUCGCAGAUCAGCAACGCUGCGGUGAAUACGUUCCCGGGCCUUGUACACACCG